rnacentral:rRNA from 1 species
UACGUAGGGACCAAGCGUUGUUCGGAUUUACUGGGCGUAAAGGGCGCGUAGGCGGCGUGACAAGUCACUUGUGAAAUCUCCGAGCUUAACUCGGAACGGUCAAGUGAUACUGUUAUGCUAGAGUACAGAAGGGGUAAUCGGAAUUCUCGGUGUAGCGGUGAAAUGCGUAGAUAUCGAGAGGAACACCAGAGGCGAAGGCGGAUUACUAGGCUGAUACUGACGCUGAGGCGCGAAAGCUAGGGUAGCAAACGGG